rnacentral:rRNA from 1 species
UACGUAGGGGACAAGCGUUGUCCGGAAUCACUGGGCGUAAAGGGCGCGCAGGCGGUGAUUUAAGCAGGAUGUGAAAGGCUACGGCUCAACCGUAGACAUGCACCCUGAACUGGGUCACUUGAGUAUUGGAGAGGCAGGCAGAAUUCCUGGUGUAGCGGUGAAAUGCGUAGAUAUCAGGAGGAAUACCGGAGGCGAAGGCGGCCUGCUGGACAAAUACUGACGCUGAGACGCGAGAGCGUGGGGAGCAAACGAG